UGAGGAAUAUUGGUCAAUGGACGCAAGUCUGAACCAGCCAAGUAGCGUGCAGGAUGACGGCCCUAUGGGUUGUAAACUGCUUUUAUAUGGGGAUAAAGUGGGGAACGUGUUCCCUUUUGCAGGUACCAUAUGAAUAAGGACCGGCUAAAUACGUGCCAGCAGCCGCGGUAAUACGUAUGGAGCAAGCGUUAUCCGGAUUCAUUGGGCGUAAAGCGCUCGUAGGCGGUCUGUAGGUCGGCAAGUUAAAUCCGGGGGCUCAACCCCCGUCCGCUUCCGAUACCGGCAGACUUGAGUUUGGUAGGGGAAGGUGGAAUUCCUAGUGUAGCGGUGGAAUGCGCAGAUAUUAGGAAGAACACCGGUGGCGAAGGCGGCCUUCUGGGCCAUAACUGACGCUGAGGAGCGAAAGCUAGGGGAGCGAACAG
rnacentral:rRNA from 1 species